CGGGACCUCAGGUCAGGCGGGGCUACCC
rnacentral:rRNA from 15 species